rnacentral:pre_miRNA from 1 species
AGUUAGCGACAAGACGAAGGCAGGGAACAGACAGAGCAUGGAUGGAACCAUCAACAGAUGAGAUAGCUGUUGUGACUCCGCUCAUGCACUGCCUCUUCCCUGGCUUUGUUUCCAUUAAUAUUU